CUUUUGUACCCUUCCCUACAUUUCCAAAGACAAAGCACCAUCUUCUCAGUUUUGAUCUCAUUUUCAACUAAUUACCGAGUCGUUUAAGGCAUCCUUGACUUCAAGUUAAAUUUUCUCAUCAUCUUGUAUGUUUUCUUUUUCCCUAGUUUAUAGACAACGAUCAAGUUUUUUUUUUUUUUUUUUUUUUUUUUUUUUUUUGACUCAUCCGCUUCUAUUAUCUAUGUGGGUACGACUCUCUUACUCUCUCUCUAAAUCUAUCUUUCUCCAACCUUAGCCCUAAUUUCGCACACUGACUGUCAAGUUCGCCCCAAAUUUUCAACUAUAGAUUCUCUUUUGUACACAUAAAUAUAUGUAUGUAUAUAUAUACAUCUUACAUUCAGAUUUUCUCUGAAACGAUUUCAAUUUGAUUGUGAUGUGUAAACCCUUUCUUUGAAACAAUUUCAUGUUCUUCCAAUACGGUUUCGUCAGUGGCCAGAUCGAUCCUUCUAGAUCGAACCUCUAUUUCGCCUUCUAAACCUUUUUUAAAUCUUAAACUUUUCAAAUUUAUAUAUAUAUAUAUAUAUAUAUAUAUAUAUUUUUUUUUUUUUCUAGCGUCUUCUAUUUUUAAUUUUGUUAUUGUUAUUAUUAUUAUUAUUAUUAUUAUUUUUUUUUAAUAAAUUUUCAUUUUGGGGGAUUCUACGAGUGAGGUGCAAGUGCGAAGAAAUUUGAACCAAUACUGCUCUCAUUUCUAUUUAAUAUUUACUUUCUUUAUAAUUUAUAUGCGUGCAUAUUUUCGAUUUUCAUUCAUUGUGCUUUUGCCCUUUAAAUUACAGGUUGUGCCACAAGCUAAUAUGGUAUUCAUUCGUCAAUCUAGAAGAGAUACCUAAGGUUUCACAUUGAUUACAAUCUAGCUCCCUUUUUGGAUUCAGAUUUCUUUUGGGAUUUUGAUGUGUAUGCGAUUAGCAUUGUGUAAUAUUGGAUUCAGAUAUUAACAUUUUGAUAUGUGUUGGAAGUAUCAUUUUAGAGUUUGGAUUAUUUGCAUAUUUUAUUAUCUAAAUUCUUAAUGAAUUGAAUUUUUAUUUAUUUA